rnacentral:misc_RNA from 1 species
GAUGAAGAACGUAGCGAAAUGCGAUAAGUAAUGUGAAUUGCAGAAUUCAGUGAAUCAUCGAAUCUUUGAACGCACAUUGCGCCCGCCAGUAUUCUGGCGGGCAUGCCUGUCCGAGCGUCAUUUCAACCCUCGCGCCCAUCUGGGCUGCGGUGUUGGGGAUCGGCCUGCCCCCCCGGGGCGCGCCGCCCCCCAAAUUCAGUGGCGGUCUCGCUGCAGCCUCCCUUGCGUAGUAGCACACCUCGCACCGGAGCGCAGCGCGGCCACGCCGUAAAACCCCCGACCCCCAUGAGUUUGACCUCGGAUCAGGUAGGAAUACCCGCUGAACUUAAGCAUAUCAAUAAGCGGAGGA